UUAUCGAACGCUUAAUUGACACAAAGUCCCUUUCCUUCUAAUCUCUAUUGAGACUCGAGCGGAACUCGAAAACCAGAUCUAGUUUUUCUUCCCCUCUGUCUCUCUCUUUCUCCCCUUCAGAGUUCAAACCUGAACUAGAUCUAGUUUUUUCUUCCCUCACUUUAGUUCGAUUUCUGAUCUCUCUCCUCUCUAGUAUUUUCUCUUCUAGGUGACUGCUUGCGCGUCUGAACUCGGCGAGACACGCGAAUAGCUGUGGACUAUCUUCUCUCAACCCAGGAUGUUAUAAACAGAGAGAGAUAGGUUGUCCCUCACAUCACAGAUGCUAUCCAAGACUAGAUUAAGUGUGUAGCACAUAUACCAGUUGAUGGAAAGUCAGGCCCUGCUAAGCACCAAUAUUGGUCAUUUGGUCUUGGCCUUAAUCUUUGGGGCAGCCUUGAUUUCUUAAAAGCAGUUUGCUUCAAGAGGGUCUGCUACUGUGCCUAUCUAUCACAUUCAAGGGGCAAAACACUUCCUUUUAUUACUGUUGAAGAAGGGUUGAUUUUCAAAUUUGAGCCUUCAAUGUUUGUAUGACUGAGCAUAGAAAAGUUGCUAGUGGUAAAGUUGCAGCCAUGGAGAGGAACAUGAAUAAAUUUAUGUUUUCUGAUGUAUUUUAUUUGAAAUUGCAUAUGAUCUGUACAGUAAAUUUUAGAAAUACAUGGUUAUAGGUGUGCCAAAUUGUUAUUUUUUUUUUAUUUAUUCCCCAAAUUUGGCCACUGAUGUUGGUGGCAUUGAGAAAACACACUAUUACAAUAACAGUGGGAAAGAAAAAGGUAAUGUGCUGCAUUGGGUUUUGGUAUGCCACUGUUGUUUUAA